GUGCGUGUGCAUGUAGGCCGCUCAGCGCUGAUCUUCAUCGUGCAUUGUUGCCGCCACCAUGUACAAGAAGGCGCUGAACGCGUUCUUCCUGAAGGUGCACCCCGACUUCUUCCACCACAACGUGCAGCAGCAAACUGUGAACCAAAACUCCGUGGCUCAGCUCAAUGAGCUACUAGCGUGGGCGAGAGAGUUCAAGCAAGGGACGCUGCGCGCACCACCAGCCACCUCCAUCUCUUUUAGCUUCUAUCGCCGCAUCGACGAGAAAGAGGGUGGCGGCGCCGAUGCCGUCACCGCGCAGCGGUCGGCGCGCGCAAGCGACGCUGGGAGCAGCGGUGGCGAAGGGGAGAACAGCGACGGCCGGCCGAAGGAGUCUGUCUUCGCCAAGCGAGCCUAUCGGGCGGCAGACUGGGCGGCGGACGGCAGCGGCUUUGACGGCUCUGGCGCUGGCGGCGGCACGCCAUUGCACCGCGACUCUCAAACUGUUCUCAUCCACUCUACGUUCGAGCUUCCGCAGGGCUUUGUCGCGAGCGAGUCGAACCGUGGCCUGGUGGAGCGUUCCGUGAACAAGUUCUUGCGCGACUUGCUGCGUCGCGCCGAGUGCAUCGACUCGGUCACAGAGUCCAUGUCUGUCGCUGAGGACGCGGCAGCGGCGCGACGGGAGGCAAAGCCGUUGCGUCGUCGUCGAGCAGACCCCCGGGAGAAGGCCAAGAGCGGUGGCAAGACCCUGCUGGACGAGGCGAGCGAGGUGAUGACGAUGCAGUGGACGCUGACAAGCGUGCCCACGCUCGAGGAGCUGAUGGACGCCGAUCAGGUGCUUUUCGCCAAGACCUUGUCCCCCUUGCAGUGCUCCGCAGCGCUGCACACCCUGCGCGCUUCUCUUGGCGAGCUGCACUACGAUCAGUGGAGCUCGAUGCCGCUGAUUAUCGACGACCACUUCGCCAUCGGUGCAGACAUCACGGGGGGCCUGACGGUUCCAUGGGACUUUACCGCGCUGCAGUUUGUCGGCUUCCUUCACCAGAAUGCCGCCGCCAUUGCGCAGUGUCGCACCUUAGCGGCGGCGUUCGCGACGGAGGUGGAGCAGCUUAUCGCGGAACUGUGCACUGCACUGGAGUUGGAUGACGUGCUCAUUUCGUGCUCGCACAAGGAGGCGAUGAAUGUGCUGCGGCUGCUGCAUCGCAAUAAGGAGCUGCUGCACGGGUACGGACUUACAAACCUGACGCUCGAGAUUGGCAUGCGUCACGCCACGCGCGCCAACGGUGUCGUUAUCGUCGACGUGUCCAUGCGGACAACGGAAGAGCUCCGCGAAUGGCUGCAGGCGCUUCACGGCAAGCUUGACCUGCAGCGCAAGCUUUACAGCGUGUCGAAGCAGAUGCUGGAGACAACGAUGUGGCACCUGAAGGAGUUCCGCGGCAUGGUCGAGCCAGGCGGCGUGGACGCUUUCGUGCACAACGACUGCACGUACGCGCAGCGGUUGGCGUGGGCAAAAGAGCUUUUCCGCAUCGGCCCUGCGCUGGCGCACUGGGACUGGCAGGAGUUCACGUUUCUGCUGAGCCCCGAGCUUGAUGUGGACUGGAGUCGGCGCCAGCUGAGGCUGCCGCACAACUUUGACGGCGACGCCCUCGUCCGCUACGUCGAGGAUGUGCAGCGGAGCGCUAAGGAGAAAGAGAAGGAAGCGCUUCUGCGCGCGAGUGCGGUGCGCCGGCUGUCAGACGAGGAGCUCCGCGCACAGACGCACGCCGUCGACUUGCAGCUGAACGACGGCACUAACGAGCCUGAAAGCAAAGAGCAGGCGCGGCGGCAGCUCCUCGAAGACCCACUCGUGCCUGGGAUGCAGCCGGUGUCGGAGGCGAUGCGUCAUCUCUACCGGCAGUCGUCACCGCACAUGGACGAGUACAUGACCUCCAGCGAGGAUACAGUGGACCCUCUUAGCGUCGAGCGUCCGCUUUCGCACGCCGUCACAUUCAACAGCGAUACAGAGGCGGAGGAGCAGCUCAAGUGGGAGGGUUUCUACCAGGAGCCCUACGUGGACCAGAUGCCGACCGGCGACCUCGACGACAUGGCGCACACGUACCGGCUUACGAACCGUUGGCAUCGCGAGGCGGCGGCGAAGAAGCUGCUGGAGGAGCUGCAGUCCACUUACGGCAAGAAGAGUCGCCGGUUCGACUACCAGAAGAUGGGUGAUGUGCUGGAGAUCAACAAUGCCCGCGUGCAGCCGAAGGGGUUCCCGGUAGUGGCGCGGGGUAUGAAGCCGAGCGAGGGGUAGCGAGAACAAGCCGACGCAAGCCGUGAGUGAGGGAGUGAGACAAUGUAGUCCCCCCCCCCCCCCCACCCACGUCUUUCCUCGUCUCGGUGGCUUCACCGAGGGGGCUCCCAAGCUCACCGUGCUGCUGCUCAGCUGUGCAACGCACACCUUCAGGCUUUUCUUCUGCUCCACCUUCACGCGAGUUUUAUUCGCUUCUUCAAUGAGUGCUUCUCCCUCCUUCUCUCGUAUGACGGAUCAGCGCGAUGCGCCCUUUGCUGCUCUGUUUGUUUGUGCUUGUGUGCGCCUCUAAAACGUAAGUGUGCUCCUUCUCGCAUUCGCGUAACAACAUACAGGCGUGGGCACAUCCAUGGAGACAGGCGUGUCUUGUUCCAUCUUCCCUCAUAAAUCUUGCGACUCUGCCUCUAC
rnacentral:misc_RNA from 1 species